UACGGGGGGGGGCAAGCGUUGUUCGGAAUUACUGGGCGUAAAGGGCGCGUAGGCGGUUGGAUAAGUCAGCUGUGAAAACCACGGGCUUAACUCGUGGCCUGCAGUUGAGACUGUCUGGCUUGAGUGUGGGAGAGGAGAGUGGAAUUCCUGGUGUAGCGGUGAAAUGCGUAGAUAUCAGGAGGAACACCGGUGGCGAAGGCGGCUCUCUGGACCACAACUGACGCUGAGGCACGAAGGCCAGGGGAGCAAACGGG
rnacentral:rRNA from 1 species